rnacentral:rRNA from 1 species
CCCGGUGGCCAUACCGGAGGGGCCACACCCGUUCCCAUUCCGAACACGGAAGUUAAGCCCUCCAGGGCCGAUGGUACUGCGCUGGCGACGGCGCGGGAGAGUAGGUCGCUGCCGGGA